rnacentral:misc_RNA from 1 species
AGCUAAGGUUUGAUUAGUAGAGAUAUUGUUGAUGAGUUCAUUUGGUACCAUGACUGAAACUUGAAGGUUGGUGCCUUUAAGAGCAUCAAGGAUUUGUGGAUUUGUAUCAUAGAUCUUGACUCUUUUGGCUUUGAGACCUUUGAUUAAGUCAACUGAAUUUUUUGGAAUUGGGAGAUUGUUUCCAAGUUGUCCGUAGCAUAUUCCUAGUUGAGAU